GUCAGUCUCUCGUGAUCUGCCGAAGAGGAAACAACUCUCAGAGAUGCUGUCUUCAAGUGCCAGUAUAGUGGUGGUGGUGUUGGUGGCUGUGGUGGCGGCUGUGGUGGUAGCUGAUUCAGGCUACCUCCCUCCUCCUAAGCCCUGCUACCCCAAGACACAUCAAGUCACCUAUUAACAAACAAAGUACCAGCAGGUUCCCGUCUACCAU